rnacentral:rRNA from 1 species
UACAGAGGUGGCAAGCGUUGUUCGGAAUUACUGGGCGUAAAGGGCGCGUAGGCGGUCUUCUAAGUCUUGUGUGAAAUCCCUCGGCUUAACUGAGGAACUGCACGGGAUACUGGAAGACUUGAGUUCGGGAGAGGGAAGCGGAAUUCCGGGUGUAGCGGUGAAAUGCGUAGAUAUCCGGAGGAACACCGGUGGCGAAGGCGGCUUCCUGGACCGACACUGACGCUGAGGCGCGAAAGCGUGGGGAGCAAACAGG